UCGAACGGCAGCACGGGNAGCAAUCCUGGUGGCGAGUGGCGAACGGGUGAGUAAUAUAUCGGAACGUGCCCAGUCGUGGGGGAUAACGCAGCGAAAGCUGUGCUAAUACCGCAUACGAUCUCUGGAUGAAAGCGGGGGACCUUUGGGCCUCGCGCGAUUGGAGCGGCCGAUAUCAGAUUAGCUAGUUGGUGGGGUAAAGGCCUACCAAGGCGACGAUCUGUAGCUGGUCUGAGAGGACGACCAGCCACACUGGAACUGGGACACGGUCCAGACUCCUACGGGAGGCAGCAGUGGGGAAUUUUGGACAAUGGGCGCAAGCCUGAUCCAGCAAUGCCGCGUGCAGGAUGAAGGCCUUCGGGUUGUAAACUGCUUUUGUACGGAACGAAACGGUCUUUUCUAACAAAGAAGGCUAAUGACGGCACCGUAAGAAUAAGCACCGGCUAACUACGUGCCAGCAGCCGCGGUAAUACGUAGGGUGC
rnacentral:rRNA from 1 species